GAGGUGGGCAAAACACCUCAGCCCCACCCCUAGCCUGGCCCCUGGACACACCCCUACCCGCACCCCAUAUAAGGGACCGGCUCCAGGGCCUGCUCCCCUGCGGAGCCGGUGCGAGAACUCCAGCGAGGCGACGCCUGAGUCUCCGGUCCAUCCGUUUCCAGUGACUGGGAAGGCCAGGAACCCGACCAGCGAUGGCACCCAACCUGGGCCAGUCCCCUGCCAGGGCGAGGACCUGGGAACGUCCGAGACCACAGGGCGAAGCUUCUGCAUGGCUGACCAACGCCUACCUGAACCGCGUGCUUUACCAUCACCGCCGGUUGACCUCCAUGCUGCUCCAGGGCUUAAGAAACCGUCUUGCAACGCGCAGGACCAGAGUUCGACUCCUGGAGAAGGAAGUAAGGCUCAACAUGCCACGCCAAGACUAAGCCUGCGCUGCAACUACUGAGGCCGAGGACCACAACUAGAGAGUCCGCAACGAAGAAUCCCGCACCAUGCAGUGAAGAUCCCCUGUGGUGCCAGUGGAUCCUGCCGCAGCUGAAUAUAUAAAUAAAUAUUUAAAAGCAGAAAAAA